UGCCACUACCCAUUCAUUGGAUCACACACCACCCACUAAGUAGGCACACUAAACCCCAAGAAUACCACUAAAAAUUCUUUAGUAAAUAUUCCAGCAAUAAAGAAAGAAAGUUACAUGCACCCACAAAGUUUCUAUUAAGUUUCUUAAUUCGUGAAAAUCCCAACAUAUCUUUCCUCAACCACAGAGGUGUUCAAAAAGGGAUUCCAAUGAAAAGUCCAUAAAUUUUAGCUUUAGCCUUUCAUUAAAAAUCUGGGUUCAGGAUCACACCAGGUCUCGGUUCCCAGCUGGACUAGUGUUUAUAACCAAAUCUAUCCCAUGUACAAACAACAUAAAUCCUGGGUUUCAUAUUUCAAACACUUUACUUUGGUUUGUUCAAUGCAGACCUCUCUAAUGCCCAACCAGAAAAAGUUGAAUUAGCAAUAAACAGAACAUAUCAUUUCAGGAAAACAAUGCAGAUUUGAACUUUUCAUCCUUCUGCAGCAUAAUCAGCAGAAAAUUACAAAUAAAUAAAUUAUAUAACAAAUAUGGUUUCCAAAAAUUGAAAAAGAAACAAGGGAAAAAAUAUUUAAAAUUUAAGCCAUCACAAAAAUUCUCCAGCAAUCUCCUGAAGUCCCAAAUUUUACAUUGAGUGAAUACAACAAAAUUGAAUCAAAAUUUGUGUUCCAUUUCCUCCAAUCCAACUCUAAAAUCCUCAAAUAACUAGAAUUGCAAAAUACUCAUUUUUUUCAAAAAUAAAAUAUAUAAACAAAACUUGACCCAUCACCAAAACAAAAACACAUACUACGAAACCAACCCAGAAAAUCUGAGAAUGCUGAAGGCUCAUUAGCAUAAGAUAAAAGGCCAAAAUAUUUUAGAAUUUCAAGGGUUCUGUGAACUCAAACACACACACUGAAAAAAUAUAUAUAUAUAUUUAUCCACACAUAAAAAGAAAAAAAUUAAAAUUAAAUUGAAAAUCAAUAAGUUUGAGAGGUUUAGAGAUUUUACACGAAAUGAAAGAGACUUCAUCAUCAUCAGUGAACGAAGAUCGUGUGAAGCAGAGUGGGUUUUGGGGCGAGUACGGAAGUUUGAUUUCUGAAUUUCGAAGGUUAGGGCACGGGAGUGGAAAGCCGUACUCGCGUUUUUUCAUAUUCUCAUCUCUCACUCGCCCAUAGUGGCUUUGGGCUCCCACGUGGGCCCAGAUGAAGAACUGUC
rnacentral:lncRNA from 1 species